AGCGUACAUGGUGGAUGCCUUGGCAGUCAGAGGCGAUGAAGGACGUACUAACCUGCGAUAAGCUGUGAGAAGUCGGUAAGAGACGCUAUUACUCACAGAUUUCCGAAUGGGGAAACCCACCCGAGAUAACUCGGGUAUCUGUUACUGAAUACAUAGGUAACAGAGGCGAACCGGGAGAACUGAAACAUCUAAGUACCCCGAGGAAAAGAAAUCAACCGAGAUUCCCUCAGUAGCGGCGAGCGAACGGGGAUUAGCCCUUAAGCAUCUUGGAAGUUAGUGGAACGGUCCUGGAAAGGCCGGCGAUACAGGGUGAUAGCCCCGUACACGAAAACAACCUUGAUGUGAAAUCGAGUAGGGCGGGACACGUGACAUCCUGUCUGAAUAUGGGGGGACCAUCCUCCAAGGCUAAAUACUCCUGACUGACCGAUAGUGAACCAGUACCGUGAGGGAAAGGCGAAAAGAACCCCUGUGAGGGGAGUGAAAUAGAACCUGAAACCGUGUACGUACAAGCAGUGGGAGCCCUUCGGGGUGACUGCGUACCUUUUGUAUAAUGGGUCAGCGACUUACAUUUUGUAGCGAGGUUAACCGUAUAGGGGAGCCGUAGGGAAACCGAGUCUUAACUGGGCGUCUAGUUGCAAGGUGUAGACCCGAAACCGGGUGAUCUAGCCAUGGGCAGGUUGAAGGUUGAGUAACAUCAACUGGAGGACCGAACCCACUAACGUUGCAAAGUUAGGGGAUGACCUGUGGCUGGGGGUGAAAGGCCAAUCAAACUCGGAGAUAGCUGGUUCUCCCCGAAAGCUAUUUAGGUAGCGCCUCGGACGAAUACUACUGGGGGUAGAGCACUGUUUGGGCUAGGGGGUCAUCCCGACUUACCAACCCCAUGCAAACUCCGAAUACCAGUAAGUAAUAUCCGGGAGACACACGGCGGGUGCUAACGUCCGUCGUGAAGAGGGAAACAACCCAGACCGCCGGCUAAGGUCCCAAAGUUCUGGUUAAGUGGGAAACGAUGUGGGAAGGCUCAGACAGCUAGGAUGUUGGCUUAGAAGCAGCCAUCAUUUAAAGAAAGCGUAAUAGCUCACUAGUCGAGUCGGCCUGCGCGGAAGAUGUAACGGGGCUCAAACCAGGCACCGAAGCCGCGGAUUCACACUUAUGUGUGAGUGGUAGGGGAGCGUUCUGUAAGUCUGCGAAGGUGUAUCGAGAGGUAUGCUGGAGAUAUCAGAAGUGCGAAUGCUGACGUAAGUAACGAUAAAGGGGGUGAAAAGCCUCCUCGCCGGAAGACCAAGGGUUCCUGUCCAACGUUAAUCGGGGCAGGGUGAGUCGACCCCUAAGGCGAGGCCGAAAGGCGUAGUCGAUGGGAAGCAGGUUAAUAUUCCUGCACGACUUGUAAUUGCGAUGGGGGGACGGAGAAGGCUAGGUGGGCCAGGCGACGGUUGUCCUGGUGAAAGUGCGUAGGUGGUGUUUCUAGGCAAAUCCGGAGACACAACACUGAGACACGAGACGAACACACUACGGUGUGGAAGCCAUUGAUGCCCUGCUUCCAGGAAAAGCCUCUAAGCUUCAGAUUACAAGUCAUCGUACCCCAAACCGACACAGGUGGUCGGGUAGAGAAUACCAAGGCGCUUGAGAGAACUCGGGUGAAGGAACUAGGCAAAAUAGAACCGUAACUUCGGGAGAAGGUUCGCUCUUGACAGUGAAGUCCCUUGCGGAUGGAGCAGUUGGGAGUCGCAGUGACCAGAUGGCUGGGACUGUUUAUCAAAAACACAGCACUCUGCAAACACGAAAGUGGACGUAUAGGGUGUGACACCUGCCCGGUGCCGGAAGGUUAAUUGAUGGGGUUAGCGCAAGCGAAGCUCUUGAUCGAAGCCCCGGUAAACGGCGGCCGUAACUAUAACGGUCCUAAGGUAGCGAAAUUCCUUGUCGGGUAAGUUCCGACCUGCACGAAUGGUGUAACCAUGGCCAUGCUGUCUCCACCCGAGACUCAGUGAAAUCGAAUUCGCCGUGAAGAUGCGGUGUACCCGCGGCUAGACGGAAAGACCCCGUGAACCUUUACUACAGCUUGGCACUGAACAUUGAACCUACAUGUGUAGGAUAGGUGGGAGGCUUUGAAGGCGUGACGCCAGUUGCGCUGGAGCCGUCCUUGAAAUACCACCCUUGUAUGUUUGAUGUUCUAACGCAGGGCCCUGAAUCGGGCUCGCGGACAGUGCCUGGUGGGUAGUUUGACUGGGGCGGUCUCCUCCCAAAGAGUAACGGAGGAGCACGAAGGUUGGCUAAUCCUGGUCGGACAUCAGGAGGUUAGUGCAAUGGCAUAAGCCAGCUUAACUGCGAGACGGACAGGUCGAGCAGGUACGAAAGUAGGUCAUAGUGAUCCGGUGGUUCUGAAUGGAAGGGCCAUCGCUCAACGGAUAAAAGGUACUCCGGGGAUAACAGGCUGAUACCGCCCAAGAGUUCAUAUCGACGGCGGUGUUUGGCACCUCGAUGUCGGCUCAUCACAUCCUGGGGCUGAAGUCGGUCCCAAGGGUAUGGCUGUUCGCCAUUUAAAGUGGUACGCGAGCUGGGUUCAGAACGUCGUGAGACAGUUCGGUCCCUAUCUGCCGUGGGCGUUGGAUGAUUGAAGGGAGUUGCUCCUAGUACGAGAGGACCGGAGUGAACGAACCUCUGGUGUUCGGGUUGUCACGCCAGUGGCACUGCCCGGUAGCUAAGUUCGGAAUCGAUAACCGCUGAAAGCAUCUAAGCGGGAAGCGAGCCCUGAGAUGAGUCAUCCCUGACCCCUUGAGGGUCCUAAAGGGCCGUUGGAGACCACAACGUUGAUAGGUGGGGUGUGUAAGCGCGGCGACGUGUUGAGCUAACCCAUACUAAUUACCCGUGAGGCUUAACC
rnacentral:rRNA from 1 species